rnacentral:rRNA from 1 species
UACGAAGGGGGCUAGCGUUGCUCGGAAUCACUGGGCGUAAAGCGCACGUAGGCGGACUCUUAAGUCAGAGGUGAAAUCCUGGAGCUCAACUCCAGAACUGCCUUUGAUACUGAGAAGCUUGAGUCCGGGAGAGGUGAGUGGAACUGCGAGUGUAGAGGUGAAAUUCGUAGAUAUUCGCAAGAACACCAGUGGCGAAGGCGGCUCACUGGCCCGGUACUGACGCUGAGGUGCGAAAGCGUGGGGAG